rnacentral:rRNA from 1 species
CCCUUAGAUGUCCGGGGCUGCACGCGCGCUACACUGUAGAAAGCAGCGUGCUUUAAAACCUUUCCUGAAAAGGAUGGGUAACCCCAGCAAAAUUCUACGUGCUUGGGAUAGAGAUUUGCAAUUUUCUCUCUUGAACGAGGAAUUCCCAGUAAGUGCGAGUCAUCAGCUCGCGUUGAUUACGUCCCUGCCCUUUGUACACACCGCCCGUCGCUACUACCGAUUGGGAAAAUUUUAGAGAGUCCUGGACUGAUGAUUGUUCGGCUUCACGGCCUUACUUUCGUCGGGAAAGAAUUCAAUAAUAUUUUUCUAGAGGAAGUAAAAGUCGUAACA